rnacentral:rRNA from 1 species
UACAGAGGUGGCAAGCGUUGUUCGGAAUUACUGGGCGUAAAGGGCGCGUAGGCGGUUCGUCAAGUCCUGUGUGAAAUCCCCCGGCUCAACUGGGGAACUGCACAGGAAACUAGCGGGCUUGAGUUCGGGAGAGGGAAGCGGAAUUCCGGGUGUAGCGGUGAAAUGCGUAGAUAUCCGGAGGAACACCGGUGGCGAAGGCGGCUUCCUGGACCGACACUGACGCUGAGGCGCGAAAGCUAGGGGAGCGAAUGGG